rnacentral:rRNA from 1 species
AGUGAACGCUGGCGGUAGGCCUAACACAUGCAAGUCGAACGGCAGCACAGUAAGAGCUUGCUCUUACGGGUGGCGAGUGGCGGACGGGUGAGGAAUACAUCGGAAUCUACUUUUUCGUGGGGGAUAACGUAGGGAAACUUACGCUAAUACCGCAUACGACCUACGGGUGAAAGCAGGGGAUCUUCGUACCUUGCGCGAUUGAAUGAGCCGAUGUCGGAUUAGCUAGUUGGCGGGGUAAAGGCCCACCAAGGCGACGAUCCGUAGCUGGUCUGAGAGGAUGAUCAGCCACACUGGAACUGAGACACGGUCCAGACUCCUACGGGAGGCAGCAGUGGGGAAUAUUGGACAAUGGGGGCAAGACUGAUCCAGCCAUACCGCGUGGGUGAAGAAGGCCUUCGGGUUGUAAAGCCCUUUUGUUGGGAAAGAAAAGCAGCAGGUUAAUACCCCGCUGUUCUGACGGUACCCAAAGAAUAAGCACCGGCUAACUUCGUG